rnacentral:rRNA from 17 species
GCAUAUCAAUAAGCGGAGGAAAAGAAACCAACAGGGAUUGCCUCAGUAACGGCGAGUGAAGCGGCAACAGCUCAAAUUUGAAAUCUGGCCGCAAGGUCCGAGUUGUAAUUUGUAGAGGAUGCUUUUGGCGAGGUGCCUUCCGAGUUCCCUGGAACGGGACGCCAUAGAGGGUGAGAGCCCCGUACGGUAGGACCACCAAGCCUCUGUAAAGCUCCUUCGACGAGUCGAGUAGUUUGGGAAUGCUGCUCUAAAUGGGAGGUGUACGUCUUCUAAAGCUAAAUACCGGCCAGAGACCGAUAGCGCACAAGUAGAGUGAUCGAAAGAUGAAAAGCACUUUGAAAAGAGGGUUAAAAAGUACGUGAAAUUGUUGAAAGGGAAGCAUUCAUGACCAGACUUGGGCUUGGUUGAACAUCCGGCGUUCUCGCCGGUGCACUCUGCCAGUCCAGGCCAGCAUCAGUUUGCCCCGGGGGAUAAAGGCGGCGGGAAUGUGGCUCCCUUCGGGGAGUGUUAUAGCCCGUCGUGUAAUGCCCUGGGGCGGACUGAGGAACGCGCUUCGGCACGGAUGCUGGCGUAAUGGUCAUCAAUGACCCGUCUUGAAACACGGACC